rnacentral:rRNA from 1 species
UACAAGCAGUUACUACGCCACCUGGUGGAUGACUGGGCUCGGUUGCCGAAGAAGGUCGUGCCAAGCAGCGAUAUGCUUCGGGGAGGCGCAUGGAACCUUUGAUCCGAAGAUGGCCGAAUGGGACUUCCUAGACCUAAGUCUAAUCCUUCACAGGAUGGGGAACGCCCCGAAUUGAAACAUCUUAGUAGGGGCAGGAAAAGAAAUCAAACGAGAUGGGGUAAGUAAAGGCGAUCGAACACCCCACAGGGCAAACCGAAUCCCGCAGCGAGAGUUGCGGGAGAUGUGGAUGGCCCGGUUACGUCCCAACUCUCAUAUCCGAAGUUCGUGUGGAACGCCGGUGCCAGAGAGGGUGACAGCCCCGUAGGAGAAAGAGAGCAGGACGAUUUCCGGGACCCAAGAGUAGCGUGCGUUGGAUAUCGCGCGUGAAUAUGGGAGGUACUAACUUCCAACCCUGAAUACAAACCGAGACCGAUAGCGUACUAGUAGCGUGAGCGAAAGUUGUAAAGCAUCCCUAGCGGGAGAAUAGCAAGACCCUGAAAUCAGGUGGUUACAGACUGAUACGGCGUGCAAGGGAAGAGGCGGUUACACCACCGCUGACCGGCGUCGUAUCGUCCGAU